UUGUCGGGUAAGUUCCGACCUGCACGAAUGGCGUAACGAUGGCGGCGCUGUCUCCACCCGAGACUCAGUGAAAUUGAAAUCGCUGUGAAGAUGCAGUGUAUCCGCGGCUAGACGGAAAGACCCCGUGAACCUUUACUAUAGCUUUGCACUGGACUUUGAAUUUGCUUGUGUAGGAUAGGUGGGAGGCUUUGAAGCGUGGACGCCAGUUCGCGUGGAGCCAACCUUGAAAUACCACCCUGGCAACUUUGAGGUUCUAACUCAGGUCCGUUAUCCGGAUCGAGGACAGUGUAUGGUGGGUAGUUUGACUGGGGCGGUCUCCUCCUAAAGAGUAACGGAGGAGUACG
rnacentral:rRNA from 1 species